rnacentral:rRNA from 1 species
AUGCAAGUCGAGCGGACAGAUGGGAGCUUGCUCCCUGAUGUUAGCGGCGGACGGGUGAGUAACACGUGGGUAACCUGCCUGUAAGACUGGGAUAACUCCGGGAAACCGGGGCUAAUACCGGAUGGUUGUUUGAACCGCAUGGUUCAAACAUAAAAGGUGGCUUCGGCUACCACUUACAGAUGGACCCGCGGCGCAUUAACUAGUUGGUGAGGUAACGGCUCACCAAGGGAACGAUGCGUAACCGACCUGAGAGGGUGAUCGGCCACACUGGGACUGAAACACGGCCCAAACUCCUACGGGAGGCAGCAGUAGGGAAUCUUCCGCAAUGGACGAAAGUCUGACGGAACAACGCCCCGUGAGUGAUGAAGGUUUUCGGAUCGUAAAGCUCUGUUGUUAGGGAAGAACAAGUACCGUUCGAAUAGGGCGGUACCUUGACGGUACCUAACCAGAAAGCCACGGCUAACUACGUGCCAGCAGCCGCGGUAAUACGUAAGUGGCAAGCGUUGUCCGGAAUUAUUGGGCGUAAAGGGCUCGCAGGCGGUUUCUUAAGUCUGAUGUGAAAGCCCCCGGCUCAACCGGGGAGGGUCAUUGGAAACUGGGGAACUUGAGUGCAGAAGAAGAGAGUGGAAUUCCACGUGUAGCGGUGAAAUGCGUAGAGAUGUGGAGGAACACCAGUGGCGAAAGCGACUCUCUGGUCUGUAACUGACGCUGAAGAGCGAAAGCGUGGGGAGCGAACAGGAUUAGAUACCCUGGUAGUCCACGCCGUAAACGAUGAGUGCUAAGUGUUAAGGGGUUUCCGCCCC